AUUGAUCGCUCGCUGCUCGUCUGAUCCGACGGAGAGCCUGGAGGAGCGCCGAGUAAUCGAUGCCGUCGCCCCGCCCCAUCCCGUUUAGAAAGGCACUGGAGACACUGGUAAUAACGGCCCCAUUUCAAAGAGGAGGACACUGAAGCCCAGGCAGAAGAAUGAGGUACAUGGCCAACUGGAGGGUUAGCAAGGUGAAGAGGUGCUCUAUUGAGCAACAGUAAAGCUCUCAGGAGACCUGAAGGUGCUAUUUAAAGGCAGAAGCAAAUGAUAAGUGACUCAGAAUGAGGGGCCACCUGGACGCUGCAGCCAGCGAGGAAAGGACAGAGUGUCGUUCUAGUCCAGCGCACCAAAAGCUGGGCAUGUGCCGACUAGCGAGUAAUUGGGUCCUGGCAUGGUGAUUUGCAUGUGGGAAACUGCUAAAAUAUUCAUGUACUUGACUGUGUCUCUUCCAAUUAGAUGUAAUAAAUGCAGAUUUGGUGGCCAUAUGUUUUAUUUUGAUGUAAUGGUUUUAACCUUUAUGGAGCGUGUGUGUGUGUGUGCACGUGCGCAUGUGUCUGUGUAGUUCCCCAGUUUUCUAAGGCUGGCCUGAUUUGAAACACGCUGGCAUGUUUAAGAUGCAAUUUGAUUAGAUUAUUAUUAGAGACUCCUUCUUGGGUUUGGAAGAACGGGCGGUAUUAGCUUUCUAUUUUGACUUCUACUGCAUUUAUUUAUUCCUUUCUUCUCUCCUGUGUUCCCCCCUUUCUUUCUGCCCUCUUUCUGCCCUUCUUCUCUUGCCUUUCCUGCCCUUCUCCCUCCCUAACCCAGCCUCUUGAGCAACUGGAUUAAUCUCCCUAAGCCUCAGCUUCCUCACCUGUAAGAUAGGGAUAACAAUACAUUUUCAUGAGGAGUAAUGAAGAUAGUGUAUCUGAAACAUUUAGCCCAAUAUUUGGCACGUAGUAAGUGCUCAGUACGUGGCAGCUGUUGUUAUUAAUAUCAGCAGCGGGAAUCGCAGCAGGUUACCUAACCUUUCUGAACCUCAGUUUAUCCAUCCGAAAAAUAGGCUCAUGUUAUUCCUUUCCCCAGAUUGUUGUGGUGUCUGCUGUUUGUAUUAGGUGCUCAGUGAAUGAAUAAAGAAUGAAUGAACGAAUUUUGGAACUCAUUGUGAAUUAGUUAGAGUAGAACCUCUGCAGUAACGUACUAUCCCCAAAUUUCAGUGGCCUGACAUAUUACAUUGAUUUGUCCCUCCCAUCACAUCCUGACGUGGAUGGAAAGGAGUCUCUGCUCCAUGCAGUCAUUCAGGGCCCCAAACUUUUUCCAUCUGAGAGUUCAAUCUCUGCAGAAGUCUCCAAGUCCUCUUCCUUCAGCCCAUGAUUGAGGAAAGAUAAUGGCAGAUCUCAUGUGGGAGGUUGUUAUGUGACAGGCCAGGCAAUGGUCAGUUCUGUUACCAUUCCAUUUGUCUCUCGGUAUGUUCCUGACCACAAGCGAGGCUGGGAGCUGGGUGCCUAGGACAGCGAGGAGGACAGGCAGGACUUCACCCUGGAUUUAGGUUUCUAGAAACCACAAGGCAGGCAAAAACUUGGUCACCUGCUUCUGAGACUCACAAAAAAGAUAACAAAUGAGUCUGAUUUGAUGUCAUAAACGGGUUGCAGAGGCAGGGAAGGCUGAACAAGGGAGAAAAGUGAGAAGCAGGUGGGGGACAGAGGGAGCCUUGCCUGUCUUCUAUGUCCUGGAGUCCUGGCCAUCAGAGCCACACAGUGUAUCUGUCCUUCUUCUUCUCCUCUCCCUCUGUCCUUGUCCAUUUUCUCUUUUGGAAUCUAUUAUUAGUGAGCUCCACCAUUGUUUUUUCUGAUUGCAUUAAAAUGCCACCAAGAUACAUGCUCUGCAGUAUGCCACUUCAGUCCUAAGUGGGGCAUUUUUGCUAGAUGGAUCGAUUUUUUUAAAUGACAGCAUCUGUUUGCUUGUACACAUUUAUUUAUAAUUCUUCCCCUGACAAUUAGAGUGGGGGAAUCGGUGAGUGGUAACCAGCUGUUGGGAUUAGCGGGGAAGGGAGGCAGUGAUUUGAUCUGUGAAGGAGCAGCAAAGCCCCGACCAAAAGCAGUAAAAGUGGAACAGAUGCCCCCAAAUACACAAGCUCGGGGAGGGACCGAUAAAUCACAUGCGCUGCCAGCUGCAAUCCCAGAGAGACACCAGAUGAGCUGGGUGAGCCGGAGAAGCUCAUGAGAGUCAGGGGCUGUGUCUGGCCCUCCCUGGGACUCAAGGGGCUUGGUAGAUGGGGUGGAGGGCAGUGGAGUAGUGCAGAGUAGUGGACCUCGGUAAGCUGGACUCUCUGAUGAGUCUUUGUGUCACUCAGGUUGAAAUCCAGAGUGCUCACUAUGGUUUACCAUGGUGGCCCUAUCAACGUGGCCUCUGUUAUUCCUCUACCCUCUAUCUCGCUCUCUGCUGCCUCUCCAGGUGUGCACCAGCAGCUCUACCUCCAGCUACUCCUGUAACAUGCCAGAUGCUCCCCCUCCUGGGGGUCCCUCAGGCUCUGCUCUCCUCAUCCAUCCUCCAUCUCCAUGGGGCUCACUUUCUGACCUCCUUCAAAUCCGUGCUCAAAUGUGACUUCUUAGAACUCUUUCUUAUAAACUCCCUCUCCAA